rnacentral:rRNA from 1 species
GAUGAACGCUAGCGGCAGGCCUAACACAUGCAAGUCGAGGGGUAACAUAGUUUGCUUGCAAACUGAUGACGACCGGCGCACGGGUGCGGAACGCGUAUCGAACCUGCCCCCUUCAGGGGAAUAGCCCAGAGAAAUUUGGAUUAAUGCCCCAUGGCACCACGGAGUCGCAUGACAUUGUGGUUAAAGAUUUAUCGGAAGGGGAUGGCGAUGCGUAUCAUUAGCUGGUUGGUAAGGUAACGGCUUACCAAGGCAACGAUGAUUAGGGGCCCUGAGAGGGGGAUCCCCCACACUGGUACUGAGACACGGACCAGACUCCUACGGGAGGCAGCAGUGAGGAAUAUUGGACAAUGGCCGGAAGGUUGAUCCAGCCAUGCCGCGUGCAGGAUGACUGCCCUAUGGGUUGUAAACUGCUUUACGGGA